CACGUAGGAGGCGAGCGUUGUCCGGAAUCAUUGGGCGUAAAGAGCGCGCAGGCGGCUUGGCAAGUCGGGUGUGAAAUCCCGGGGCUCAACCCCGGGACUGCAGUCGAUACGGGCAGGCUAGAGUUCGGUAGGGGAGAUCGGAAUUCCUGGUGUAGCGGUGAAAUGCGCAGAUAUCAGGAGGAACACCGGUGGCGAAGGCGGAUCUCUGGGCCGAUACUGACGCUGAGGAGCGAAAGCGUGGGGAGCGAACAGG
rnacentral:rRNA from 1 species